rnacentral:rRNA from 1 species
GCUUGCUUCUCUGAUAGUUAGCGGCGGACGGGUGAGUAACACGUAGGCAACCUGCCCUCAAGCUUGGGACAACUACCGGAAACGGUAGCUAAUACCGAAUAAUUGUUUUCUUCUCCUGAAGGAAACUGGAAAGACGGAGCAAUCUGUCACUUGGGGAUGGGCCUGCGGCGCAUUAGCUAGUUGGUGGGGUAACGGCUCACCAAGGCGACGAUGCGUAGCCGACCUGAGAGGGUGAUCGGCCACACUGGGACUGAGACACGGCCCAGACUCCUACGGGAGGCAGCAGUAGGGAAUCUUCCGCAAUGGGCGAAAGCCUGACGGAGCAAUGCCGCGUGAGUGAUGAAGGUUUUCGGAUCGUAAAGCUCUGUUGCCAGGGAAGAACGCUUGGGAGAGUAACUGCUCUCAAGGUGACGGUACCUGAGAAGAAAGCCCCGGCUAACUACGUGCCAGCAGCCGCGGUAAUACGUAGGGGGCAAGCGUUGUCCGGAAUUAUUGGGCGUAAAGCGCGCGCAGGCGGUCAUUUAAGUCUGGUGUUUAAUCCCGGGGCUCAACCCCGGAUCGCACUGGAAACUGGGUGACUUGAGUGCAGAAGAGGAGAGUGGAAUUCCACGUGUAGCGGUGAAAUGCGUAGAUAUGUGGAGGA